rnacentral:rRNA from 1 species
GGGUUGUGAGGUUAAGCGACUAAGCGUACACGGUGGAUGCCCUGGCAGUCAGAGGCGAUGAAGGGCGUGCUAAUCUGCGAUAAGCGCCGGUAAGGUGAUAUGAACCGUUAUAACCGGCGAUACCCGAAUGGGGAAACCCAGUGUGACUCGUCACACUAUCAUUAACUGAAUCCAUAGGUUAAUGAGGCGAACCGGGGGAACUGAAACAUCUAAGUACCCCGAGGAAAAGAAAUCAACCGAGAUUCCCCCAGUAGCGGCGAGCGAACGGGGAGGAGCCCAGAGCCUGAAUCAGCAUGUGUGUUAGUGGAAGCGUCUGGAAAGGCGCGCGAUACAGGGUGACAGCCCCGUACACAAAAGCGCAUGUGCUGUGAGCUCGAUGAGUAGGGCGGGACACGUGGUAUCCUGUCUGAAUAUGGGGGGACCAUCCUCCAAGGCUAAAUACUCCUGACUGACCGAUAGUGAACCAGUACCGUGAGGGAAAGGCGAAAAGAACCCCGGCGAGGGGAGUGAAAAAGAACCUGAAACCGUGUACGUACAAGCAGUGGGAGCACAGGUUUACCUGUGUGACUGCGUACCUUUUGUAUAAUGGGUCAGCGACUUAUAUUCUGUAGCAAGGUUAACCGAAUAGGGGAGCCGGAGGGAAACCGAGUCUUAACCGGGCGUUAAGUUGCAGGGUAUAGACCCGAAACCCGGUGAUCUAGCCAUGGGCAGGUUGAAGGUUGGGUAACACUAACUGGAGGACCGAACCGACUAAUGUUGAAAAAUUAGCGGAUGACCUGUGGCUGGGGGUGAAAGGCCAAUCAAACCGGGAGAUAGCUGGUUCUCCCCGAAAGCUAUUUAGGUAGCGCCUCGUGAAUUCAUCUCCGGGGGUAGAGCACUGUUUCGGCUAGGGGGCCAUCCCGGCUUACCAACCCGAUGCAAACUGCGAAUACCGGAGAAUGUUAUCACGGGAGACACACGGCGGGUGCUAACGUCCGUCGUGAAGAGGGAAACAACCCAGACCGCCAGCUAAGGUCCCAAAGUCAUGGUUAAGUGGGAAACGAUGUGGGAAGGCCCAGACAGCCAGGAUGUUGGCUUAGAAGCAGCCAUCAUUUAAAGAAAGCGUAAUAGCUCACUGGUCGAGUCGGCCUGCGCGGAAGAUGUAACGGGGCUAAACCAUGCACCGAAGCUGCGGCAGCGAACGUAUCACUUAAAGCGAUUCAGCGGGUUACGAUUGACGGAGCGAAGCGACGUCAAAGCGUAUACAAAGUCGAGUCGGUUUAAGGAUACGUUCGUUGGGUAGGGGAGCGUUCUGUAAGCCUGCGAAGGUGGCCUGUGAGGGUUGCUGGAGGUAUCAGAAGUGCGAAUGCUGACAUAAGUAACGAUAAAGCGGGUGAAAAGCCCGCUCGCCGGAAGACCAAGGGUUCCUGUCCAACGUUAAUCGGGGCAGGGUGAGUCGACCCCUAAGGCGAGGCCGAAAGGCGUAGUCGAUGGGAAACGGGUUAAUAUUCCCGUACUUGGUGUUACUGCGAAGGGGGGACGGAGAAGGCUAUGUUGGCCGGGCGACGGUUGUCCCGGUUUAAGCGUGUAGGUGUGUGUUCCAGGUAAAUCCGGUUCACUUUAACACUGAGGCGUGAUGACGAGGCACUACGGUGCUGAAGCAACAAAUGCCCUGCUUCCAGGAAAAGCCUCUAAGCAUCAGGUAACAUCAAAUCGUACCCCAAACCGACACAGGUGGUCAGGUAGAGAAUACCAAGGCGCUUGAGAGAACUCGGGUGAAGGAACUAGGCAAAAUGGUGCCGUAACUUCGGGAGAAGGCACGCUGACACGUAGGUGAAGUGAUUUACUCAUGGAGCUGAAGUCAGUCGAAGAUACCAGCUGGCUGCAACUGUUUAUUAAAAACACAGCACUGUGCAAACACGAAAGUGGACGUAUACGGUGUGACGCCUGCCCGGUGCCGGAAGGUUAAUUGAUGGGGUCAGCGCAAGCGAAGCUCCUGAUCGAAGCCCCGGUAAACGGCGGCCGUAACUAUAACGGUCCUAAGGUAGCGAAAUUCCUUGUCGGGUAAGUUCCGACCUGCACGAAUGGCGUAAUGAUGGCCAGGCUGUCUCCACCCGAGACUCAGUGAAAUUGAACUCGCUGUGAAGAUGCAGUGUACCCGCGGCAAGACGGAAAGACCCCGUGAACCUUUACUAUAGCUUGACACUGAACAUUGAGCCUUGAUGUGUAGGAUAGGUGGGAGGCUUUGAAGUGUGGACGCCAGUCUGCAUGGAGCCGACCUUGAAAUACCACCCUUUAAUGUUUGAUGUUCUAACGUGGACCCGUAAUCCGGGUUGCGGACAGUGUCUGGUGGGUAGUUUGACUGGGGCGGUCUCCUCCUAAAGAGUAACGGAGGAGCACGAAGGUUGGCUAAUCCUGGUCGGACAUCAGGAGGUUAGUGCAAUGGCAUAAGCCAGCUUGACUGCGAGCGUGACGGCGCGAGCAGGUGCGAAAGCAGGUCAUAGUGAUCCGGUGGUUCUGAAUGGAAGGGCCAUCGCUCAACGGAUAAAAGGUACUCCGGGGAUAACAGGCUGAUACCGCCCAAGAGUUCAUAUCGACGGCGGUGUUUGGCACCUCGAUGUCGGCUCAUCACAUCCUGGGGCUGAAGUAGGUCCCAAGGGUAUGGCUGUUCGCCAUUUAAAGUGGUACGCGAGCUGGGUUUAGAACGUCGUGAGACAGUUCGGUCCCUAUCUGCCGUGGGCGCUGGAGAACUGAGGGGGGCUGCUCCUAGUACGAGAGGACCGGAGUGGACGCAUCACUGGUGUUCGGGUUGUCAUGCCAAUGGCACUGCCCGGUAGCUAAAUGCGGAAGAGAUAAGUGCUGAAAGCAUCUAAGCACGAAACUUGCCCCGAGAUGAGUUCUCCCUGAGACUUAGAGUCUCCUGAAGGAACGUUGAAGACGACGACGUUGAUAGGCCGGGUGUGUAAGCGCAGCGAUGCGUUGAGCUAACCGGUACUAAUGAACCGUGAGGCUUAACCUUACAACGCCGAAG